rnacentral:rRNA from 1 species
GACGGAGGGUGCUAGCGUUGUUCGGAAUGACUGGGCGUAAAGGGCGCGUAGGCGGCCGCUUGCGUCGGAUGUGAAAGCCCGGGGCUCAACCCCGGAACGGCAUCCGAUACGGGGCGGCUCGAGGCCGAGAGAGGUGAGUGGAAUACCCAGUGUAGAGGUGAAAUUCGUAGAUAUUGGGUGGAACACCGGUGGCGAAAGCGGCUCACUGGCUCGGUUCUGACGCUGAGGCGCGAAAGCGUGGGGAGCAAACAGG